GUUGUUGCGGCUCCUCUGUUUCUCUUUGGUGGCCAAACUUGUUGCUCAUUGUUCGUUGCUGCUCUGCUCCUCUGUUUCUCUCUGAUACCAGCAGACAUGGUGGCAAACUCAAUUAUCAUAGCACUAUUGGUUCAUUCUAAGAGUUUUUGUUGUGGCUGCCCUUUCACUCAUUCCACUGGUGCCAGGACAUCUUUCUAAUAGGGCUUAUCGACUUUCUUUUUUGGGUACCACGUGCUCUUCUCUGUUUUCCUUGUACUCAUUAUACGGGAUAAGUUUGUUGUUAUGAUUUUAGAGAUGAGUAUUUUGUUAUAUUUUCUUAAACCAGGUUUCAUAUGGGGUGAGGUAAGAUUGAUGAAAUGCACCCCACUCCUACUCAAUGUGAAUGGUCAUUUUCUUUCCAUUUGUACUUGAUGAAACGUAACUUACUGGUGUGGUUUUGAGAACCAUAUAACUGGUGCAUCUUCAUAAAUUUAUUCUUUUAAUCUUUUUAUUUUUAUACAGAUUGUAAUUAUAAUUCAACUGUUGCUGUAUCUUGG